GUGUGGAUAUGCUCCCUAAGCUGUAGUUGGAGUGCCCAAAUGAAAAACAAUGAAUCCAAGCAGAAAAACAGGUUGUACUUGGUUGUGGCGUACCGUGCAUAUGUGUUGUGGGUGCAUAACAAUCGAAGGCUGGGAUUUGGUAAUCGAAUGGUGCUUCCCGCUUGUGUAGUGUCGUGAAUUCAAGCACAGUUUUCAUGUGCAGAUGAUGAUUCGUACACAGGAUUUCAACCCUUUGAGGGACUAUGGAUUUUUUCAGAAAACUGACAUGUCUAUUAUUGCUAUAGCUGUGCAUUGCUGGUCUCAAUUGACAAAUACUUUUACUUUUCAAAUCCUGUAUACUCUACCUUGUUUUGAAAUUUGUGCACUAAUAAAGUGUGUAAAUGAGU